GUGCGCGCGCGCCCCCGCCUCCCGCGCGGGGCUGCAGGACGAACGAGCCGACGGUCCGCUGCGUCUCGUCACUCCCCCGCCCUUCCGCUCUCUGCCUAUCCUUUGGAGCAUGCGCGGGAGGGAGGUCCGACGCUAAAGUGCGUCGAGCGUCCAGUGCUCACGCCUACAGCGAAAAUCUGCCUGCGGAAGCGGAACUUGAUCCGUCCCGGAAGGCUUGUUGAACGGAUUCUGACCGCGUGCCGGGCGCCUAGGUGGCUGUAGAGGCUUGGGAGAGCCGUGCUUUUUCCCCAAGCGGCGACUUUCCUAGCUAUUGCUUUCAAUAAGCCUCGUGCUUGUGUUUUUUCAUUAGUGCAUGUACAGGUUUACAAAGAUUAUCUUUGUGACGAUUUGCAACAAUUUUUGUCUGCUCAUUUAACCCGUUUGGAUAGAUGAGGCAAGUUGAGUUCGACCUGCCAAGCUCACCAUUCUAGGCUGUGGGGAAACCAAGAAUCAAGGCGCCAGCUCAAGAGCCGGUUUUCCAUCUCCAGAAAUUCCUUUAAAACUUAGGAUGAUCCCCUCAGCCCUUUCUUAAAGGCCACCAGUAACUGCGUUCACACUUUUUCAAGUGAAUAGUCUCAUCAAAGACCCAAAUGGUGUCUUUUCUUCCUUGGGGAGCUUAGUCACUUGCACAGUGCCUAUAAAUAUCAGGCACCCAGUAAAUAUUUGCUGAAUGAGUCAGCUGUCUGUAGUCAAAAAUUAUUAUCUGUAGGGUCCAAACAGCCUCCUGGAAAAUCCAGAAUGUGGCAUCUUCCAUCGUAUGUUUUUAUACUUUGCAAGGUAAAAAGAAUAUGCAGUAACGCCUACUGUUCUCCCAAAUCCAUCUGCUUUCAGAAGUUGUAUCUAGUUUAGUAAACUUAGCCCUAUACUAUAUUCUAAAAUAGGACUGAGUGUUGUGCUGCCUCUUGGGAGGAAAGACAGUAAUCUCUGCACCCAACGUGCUGCUAGAACAUAUAACGCCAAGAUCAAGAGACCCGUGCUCCACCAACUGAGCCAGCCAGGCACUCCAGACAAGUCACCAUGUUGGCAGCGGUGAUUGACCCCAAUCAUCGAGAGGAAGUUGGAAUUCUGUUACACAAUGGAAGAUGGAAGGACGAUGUGCGGCACCCAGAGGUGACAUUGAAACUGUUGCACCAGUCAAAAGGAUUCAAAGGUCAGCUCUAAGCUGGCAGGACGCUGGAGGGCCAGUGUGGAGCUGAGCAGAGUGCUUCCCGGAAGAGAGCAGUCUUUGGAAUGGAGGUUGGGGAGUGAAGUGCUAUGGAGGCAGAAACACCAGGGCUAAGGAGAGACAGAGCGCAAGCCAGCGGAGAGGGACAGAGGGAGAGAGAGAGAGCUCUGAGCUCAGCAUGAACCUGAUCCCAUGACCCUGGGAUCAUGACUUGAGCUGAAAUCAAGAGUCUGAAGCUCAACCAAGUGAGCCACCAGGUGCCCUUCCAAUAUUGACUUGGAUAUCUAAUUUUGUUUCAUAAUAUUCAUUCUUUUUCUUAAUAAGGACUCUUCUCCCCCUCCCCCAGAUUGUAUAAGGUCUAACACCUGCAGACCUUGACUCUGCUCUUCCCAGCAAGGACCCACCUAGACUUUGCAGAGGCCAUCAUGAAAAGCCCAAAGAAUAUAGGGCAGGAAUGCCUGGCUGGCUCAGUUGGUGGAACGUGCAACCCAUGAUCUUGGGAUUGAGUUCAAGUUCCGCGUUGGGUGUAGAGAUUUCUUAAAAAUAAAAUCUUAAAAAAAAAAAAAAAAGAAUCCUGACAUAUCCUGUGAACAGGAACGGGACGAAUACAUAAAAUAGUACCAUAAUAAAAUCCCUGAUAAUUACCCACUCAGAAUAAAGACACAGAUUUCCACCUUGAAGGGAGGUGUGAUAAAGUUCUGGCCAACAGGGGUAUGCAACUUCCAGGUUCCCAUAAAGGAACAGGAAGUGUCCUCUACUACUUUUCUCCCUUUCCGAUGACUGGAAUACAGAUGUGGUCGUGAGUGUCUUGGUUGAAACAACAAUGUGCAAGGACAUAGGUCUCUAAUCCCACGGAACAGUCCAGAGCCAGCGCUGGUCCAUUCAUACCCAUAUUACUACGUGCGAGAGUUUCUAUUUGUUUAAGCCCCAAUUAUUUUGGAUUGCCAUUAGGCAGCUGAUCUUAUAUUGUAACAAAUACAACCAUAAUAACACUUUACAUUUAUAGGGUUCUCUAUUCUUCAUAAACUUCUCUAGUGUCUCUUAUGAUCAGUAGCUGCUGGUGAGAGAGGAAAGGCCAUCACUUUGACCUUUUCUACUAGGAGCCUGAGGCCCAGGAUGUGGUCCGACUUGCCUGGGAGCACACAGGGAAGGGUCCCUGAUAUAGCUACCUCACCAACAGGGACAGAUAGCAGCUGGAAGCCAGAUGUGUGAGUAGCACGGGUGAUGAGCAUGCUGGCUUUCUGCUCUUAACAUUCACAAAGAAUUUCUUCUGGACUAUUCCAUCUAUAAACCCCUGGAGUAGGGACAGUUGACAUCCCUUCUCUUCUCGUCUCCUACUUUCCUAAAUUUGCUGCAGCACAUGGAAAGCGAUGUAAGAUAGAGGAUUCCUGCUUCAAAUACAAUGUGUCUCUGCCCUCUUCAACCUUUUCCCCUCCUUUCCUUUAAAAAUUCAGUCAAAAAGCUGGGGCG